rnacentral:rRNA from 1 species
GAUUUCUGACGUAGCGUACUUGGCCCGAGCUUCGGUUUACGGAGUUUUGUAGUGCCGGUGUAUGCUAGUCAUCUUUGGGGACCAUACGUAUUGUAUUUGUUUUUUGUUUUGCUUCGGUGAUUCAAGGAACGGUAUUUUACGUACUCCAUCAUUUACUUUGAAAAAAUUAGAGUGUUUAAAGCAGGCUUGCGCUAUGAAUAUAUUAGCAUGGAAUAAUAACUUAGGACUUUGGCUUAGAGUUUUAUUUGGUAUUUUGUGGGCUAAAGUAAUGAUUGAUAGGGACAGUUGGGGGUGCUAGUAUUCAGCGGCCAGAGGUGAAAUUCUUGGAUUCGCUGAAGACUAACUUAUGCGAAAGCAUU